rnacentral:rRNA from 1 species
GAUGAACGCUAGCUACAGGCUUAACACAUGCAAGUCGAGGGGCAGCGUGGUCUUAGCUUGCUAAGGCCGAUGGCGACCGGCGCACGGGUGAGUAACACGUAUCCAACCUGCCGUCUACUCUUGGACAGCCUUCUGAAAGGAAGAUUAAUACAAGAUGGCAUCAUGAGUCCGCAUGUUCACAUGAUUAAAGGUAUUCCGGUAGACGAUGGGGAUGCGUUCCAUUAGAUAGUAGGCGGGGUAACGGCCCACCUAGUCUUCGAUGGAUAGGGGUUCUGAGAGGAAGGUCCCCCACAUUGGAACUGAGACACGGUCCAAACUCCUACGGGAGGCAGCAGUGAGGAAUAUUGGUCAAUGGGCGAGAGCCUGAACCAGCCAAGUAGCGUGAAGGAUGACUGCCCUAUGGGUUGUAAACUUCUUUUAUAAAGGAAUAAAGUCGGGUAUGGAUACCCGUUUGCAUGUACUUUAUGAAUAAGGAUCGGCUAACUCCGUGCCAGCAGCCGCGGUAAUACGGAGGAUCCGAGCGUUAUCCGGAUUUAUUGGGUUUAAAGGGAGCGUAGAUGGAUGUUUAAGUCAGUUGUGAAAGUUUGCGGCUCAACCGUAAAAUUGCAGUUGAUACUGGAUAUCUUGAGUGCAGUUGAGGCAGGCGGAAUUCGUGGUGUAGCGGUGAAAUGCUUAGAUAUCACGAAGAACUCCGAUUGCGAAGGCAGCCUGCUAAGCUGCAACUGACAUUGAGGCUCGAAAGUGUGGGUAUCAAACCAGG